rnacentral:lncRNA from 1 species
GGAAAAAAAAUUGUAGUGAUAAUCAGGAUGGCCCAUUUCCCCAACAGUUGACAAGAAGGUGCAAUAACAUUAGGGGAAAAAUUAGCAUGGGGAAAUAGGUUUUACUUUGUGUAAUGACCCAUCCACUCCCAUUCGUUAUUCAAGCCUAAUUUAAUGGUGUCCAGUCUGCAAAUUAAUUCCAGUUCUGCAGUUUCUCAUUGGAGUCUGUUUCUGAAGGUUUUUUUUGUUGGAGAAUUGUGACUUUUAGGUCUGUAAUUGAGUGUCCAGGGAGGCUGAAGUGGUCUCCAACUGGUUUUUGAAUGUUAUAAUUCUUGACGUCUGAUUUGUGUCCAUCUAUUCUUUUUCAUAGAGACUGUCCGGUUUGGCCAGUGUACAUGGCAGAGGGGCAUUGCUGGCACAUGAUGGCAUAUAUCACAUUGGUAGAUGUGCUGGUGGACAAACCUCUGAUGGUGUGGCUGAUGGAAUGUACAUUGGGACAUCAUUUCAAGGGGCUGUGAUGCUCAAUGUGGAAGUCACUGCAUAGCACCCACUUCCAGCCUUUGUGGAUUUUGCAGUAUUGGGCCUUUACAAUUGUGAGUAGUGCA